UACGUAGGGGGCAAGCGUUGUCCGGAUUUACUGGGCGUAAAGAGCGUGUAGGCGGCCAAGCAGGUCCGUUGUGAAAACUGGAGGCUUAACCUCCAGACGUCGACGGAAACCGCGUGGCUAGAGUCCGGAAGAGGAGAGUGGAAUUCCUGGUGUAGCGGUGAAAUGCGCAGAUAUCAGGAAGAACACCAAUGGCGAAGGCGGCUCACUGGCCCGGUACUGACGCUGAGGUGCGAAAGCGUGGGGAGCAAACAGG
rnacentral:rRNA from 1 species